AACGAACGCUGGCGGCAUGCCUAACACAUGCAAGUCGAACGAGACCUUCGGGUCUAGUGGCGCACGGGUGCGUAACGCGUGGGAACCUGCCCUUAGGUUCGGAAUAACUCCCCGAAAGGGGUGCUAAUACCGGAUAAUGUCUUCGGACCAAAGAUUUAUCGCCUUUGGAUGGGCCCGCGUUGGAUUAGCUAGUUGGUAGGGUAAAAGCCUACCAAGGCGACGAUCCAUAGCUGGUCUGAGAGGAUGAUCAGCCACACUGGGACUGAGACACGGCCCAGACUCCUACGGGAGGCAGCAGUGGGGAAUAUUGGACAAUGGGCGAAAGCCUGAUCCAGCAAUGCCGCGUGAGUGAUGAAGGCCUUAGGGUUGUAAAGCUCUUUUACCCGGGAUGAUAAUGACAGUACCGGGAGAAUAAGCUGCGGCUAACUCCGU
rnacentral:rRNA from 1 species